rnacentral:sRNA from 1 species
UUACAAUGACAAGGUAAGCCGACAGUGU